AAUAUUGGAUUAUGGGCGAAAGUCUGUUCCAGCCAUGCCGUGUGUGUGAAGACGGUCUUCGGAUAUAAAAGCACAUUAAUUUGGGACGAAGGGGUCGAAGCCAAUACCUUCAAUCAUUGACGUUACCAACAGAAUAAGCACCGGCUAACUCUGUGCCAGCAGCCGCGGUAAUACAGAGGGUGCAAGCGUUAAUCGGAGUUACUGGGCGUAAAGCGCGCGUAGGUGGUUCAGUAAGAUAGAAGUGAAAUCCCCGGGCUUAACCUAGGAACUGCUUUCAUAACUGAUGAGCUAGAGUACGGUAGAGGGUAGUGGAAUUUCCUGUGUAGCGGUGAAAUGCGUAGAUAUAAGAAGGAACACCAGUGGCGAAGGCGACUACCUGGACUGAUACUGACACCGAGGUGCGAAAGCGUGGGGAGCAAACA
rnacentral:rRNA from 1 species